CUGUCCAGACUUAGAACCAAUCAGAUUAACGCAGCAUGUGACAAAGGGUAUCGCAACUGUAACGUGAACUGUGCCAUUAUCUUGAUUAAAGGGUUGUGAUUGGUCAGUUUAUCUGACAUCAAGGAAAAAGGCUCAAAAACUCCACAGUUCCAGACCCUGCAUGUCAGAGAAAAUGAAUUUAAGUUGCCUGAUGACUGUGGCAAUGCUAGGCUAGAUCUUUUUUGUCCCUUUACAAACUUUGAGGAUCAAAUUUGUAAUUAAAAAUGCAACUAUAUCUUAAUAUUUGUCGUUUCAACCAGAAACACACUGGUUAAUCAAUGGCGACAACUGUGUUGCACGGCCAUAGUGGAGGACGCUUCCAGAGAGGUGUAUCCUGAAAUCCCUUGAAUUGUCUUAAAGGAGUAAGAGAAAAUGAGCAG